rnacentral:lncRNA from 1 species
GAGAUUCAGCCUCUACACUUGGGAUUUUGCUUCAAAAUGACAUCAUAACUCAUAUGAACUCUUGUGAAUGAUUGUGGGGUCCAAAUCUCAAAGAAUGACCACCAUCUAUUGCUCAAUGAAUGUCUUGAUUGCGACGCUGUUAAUGCUUCAUCUGCAAGACAAAGGUUAGAUGACAUAUUUGUACUUUUUGGUUAGUGAUAAAAAGAAAACAAUGAUAUACAAAUACCUCACAACAGCUUCGUGAUUCAACAGAACACACUCUCAAAAAGAUGAACUACCCCUGAAGGAAAAAGGAUAUGCACCAUGAUACCUUGAGGCAAUGCAAUGAUAUGAUCUGAUGCCAUGAGGAAUCUUAGGACAAAAUGGCGGUCUACAUCAAGCAUUUCAUAUUUCUUUGCAAUUUACUUUAAUGCAAUUUAUUUUUCUAUGCUCAUUUUAUUCAAUAUUGUUUUUCCCUUUGGCGUCCCUUGAGCUCAUAUUUUAUGUUUAUGUCAUUUUCCUUUUGCUCAUUUGAGCUCAUUAUUGUAUAUAAAUAUAUUGUUGCUUUGUGUUUGUUUUGUUUUUGUUUGUGUGAACCCAAUGCAAAAAGGAGAAAGGGCUUAGAAUUAGGACCUUACCUAUGCUUAAAGGAGUUCAAGAGCAACUAGGCCUCAUGCCUUUAGAAUGCUAAAUUUGUUGAAGAGAAACUAAGCCUCAUGUCUUUAGACUGCUAAAUCUUAAAGUUGACUUCAAAGGACCCAUAAUCUAAACUCAUUCUUUGUCCAUUCCUCUUAUUAAGUUGUGAAAUUUUUGAUGUUUCCUCUUGUGUGAUAGGGAUUCCAUCUUUAGAUUGUAAGAAGGACCAUUGUCAUGAGUAGCCAAGCUAAGAGAGACAAGCCAAAUGGAGAUCCUAGGAGCUUGAUUAUAAUUUGUUUUGAUUGCUCGUUGCUUGCUAAGUCCAAAGGAAAUGAGCCUCUUGAAUCAUCUUUAUGAUCUCAAGAAAAGGAACUCCAAGGGUUUUAUCUCUUAUCUUAUCUUUGCAUGUUUAAGACUAGCCUUUCUCUUCUUCUCUUCACUCUAACCCAAUCCAAACUCGUUUAUAUGCAAACUUUAACUUUGUUUCAAAUUAGAAACCUAGGCCAUAUGCCUUUGAUUUUUCAAAAUCUUUUCAUUAAUACUCAUUGUGAAUAAACCUUAAUUCAACUUUGACUUCAUUUUGUAAAUACUUUUAACUUGUAAAUACAACUCACUUCAAGUUGUUUUUGUGGUUCCAAUGGCCACCUUUGUUAAAACCUUUUUUCAUAAACAUUAGUCAUAGGUGUGAGUUAUCAUAGUGGUUGAUGUCAACCUCACCUUAUCCUUAGUGAUUGGACUAUAAGUCUUCCAUACUUAUUUUAGGGAUAAUUUGUGAGUUAUCAUAGUGCUAACACAUUCCCUCUGUGUAACUGUAUGCUUACUUUUGAUUUAGUCAAUAAAUCUAAAGGUAACGAAUACCCCGCUACAGUUACACAGAGGGAAUGUGUUAGCACACAAAGUAUCCUAGGUACUCCUAGGGAGCCUUUUUUCAUGUGUGCAUAUGUGUUUGGUAUAAAAGAUGUUUGAGAAAAAUAGAGUGUGGGGGUGAGAAAAGAAUUCAUUUAUUAUAUUUUUGUGUUUGACAAUACCUUCGGACUUGUGCCUACGUACCAACAUAAAAAUGAAGGAUCAAAACCUCGUAGUUCGUGGUAAAAAUUUCAAAUGAGUUGGUGAAUUGAUUUAAACAAAAUUUUAGAUGAAAAGUCACAAAAGGCCAAAAAUUUAAAUGGGGUUGUUAAUUCUUUUUUGUGUUUUUUUAAUUUAAGUUAAUAUAGUUAAGUUUAUUUACAAGAUUGAUUUAAGAAAAAGUGUGAAAAAAUUCAAUGGCAUAAGGCCAAAGUUUCUAAUCAUUAAAACAUGUCUAAAUUUGAAAUUACAAGCAAAUAAAGCUUUUGAAAAGAGGGAGAGAUUUUGAAAUUUAAGAAGUGGGAGGAGAUGAAGAGGUUAUCCUAAGCACAAAAUUAAAAGUCAAGAGUUGAAAAGAUCUAACCAAUGAGAUGCAAUCCAACAGACAAGAAUGUCAUAUAGAAACCCAUUUUCCUUUGGACUUUAAUCAAGCAAUGACCAAUAAGCAAUUACCAAUAUCCAGACAUCAUGAAGAUCAAGGCAUCAAAUAAAGAUAGCCACAUCCAAGCAAGCAACUUCAAUAGCUAGCAAUCUUCAUUGUCUUUUAAUGUAUCAAAUGAAAUAUUCCUUGAUCAAAUCAGAACAAAGCAUCAGGCAUAAGAUCAAAAUAAUAAUUAAGCACAAAGACAGAGUAUCAGAUGAACCCAAGAAAUUCCUAAGGCUUGUAUCAGAUGAAGGCACGGUUCAAAAUAGCUCAGUCUUAAAAUGUUGGCAUUGGCCAAGUCCUUUUAGCACAGGGAAUGUUGCCUAAUCCUAAGUCCAAAAGUUCAAAUCAAGUUCAAUAGUCCACCAGAUGUUUUUUAGGGUGUUUAUUGUUAUUAGGUAUUUUAAGGUCCUAAGACCACAAACAAAAACAAACACACAAAUAAUAUAUAUACAAUCACAAGAUAUAGCUCAAAUGAGCAAAGUGAAAAUGACAUAGUCAUAAACAAGUUAUAUGAAAUGUAAAUGGAAAUGAAUGAUAAAUGACUGAAAUUUAAAUUGUAUAAUAGUAAAUGAUUUGAAAAUAAAGCAAUAUUAACAAGAGUUAGUCAAAUUUUAAUGGUAAUUUAAUUGAUUAAGUCAUUCUUUGGAGAACACUCAACCAUUCAUUCACAAGUAUGAAUCCUUAAACCAAUACAUCUUCCAUGAAGGGACCCAACUUGGAUAAUUCAACAAGUAUGCCACUAUCCCCCAUUAAAGGAAAAAAGUUCAAGUCUCCAUACAAUACCAUGAAGAAUGGGAGACUUGCAAUCUCACUUACUAUAAUAUUAUGCCUCGAGGGUCAAAUUUAGCUAUAUGUUAAGCAACCGUAAUUGGACUUAUGUAGAAGUCACAACUAUUUGAGGUCGAGAAUAAAAAUUUAGGUGUUAAUGCAUGUUAGUGAUUUGGUAUGAAGAACCAAACGCUUAAAACAUACCACAUACUAAAAGAAAAGUCAAAAGGGAUUGACCUAUCUCAGUCAUACUUGUAUUGAAUUAUCUGACACAAGGUCAUUGAUGAAUCAAUUAGCCUUUAGAUAUUAGAGAUUUCAUUGGUCAAAUGAUGGAAUAGGAAAGAAUAGAGAUGAAUAUGAAGAGGGGGGGAGAUAGAAACACAAAUUGAUCAUGGGAUGACUUUCAUCAAAUCAAAACCAUUCAUUCAUUUUGGGAGAUGAAAUGUACAUUUCAUCAAUCCCCUAAGUCCAAUGGUUUUGAUCCAAUAAAAGUCAAAUCAACCUUGACCAAGCCCCAAUUAGAAAUUCAAAUAUCACAAGACCAUAUAAAUGGCUCAAUAAUAUUUUCAAGCAUUUAAUCAAUUAAAAAUCACAUUAAAAAUAAAUUAAAUUACAUUUUGAUUUGGUUAAAACAUAAAAUCCCUUCAAAACACCAAAUAAAUGGCCAAAGGAUUUAUCCUAGGUCAAACAAGGUCAAAGGACCUUAGACAAAAAAUUUCACUAUUUUUGAAAAGUCAUAAGUAUUUUUAAACAAUUAAAAAUAUGCAUAAAAAUAUUUAAUUCAUGAAAAAUAUUGAAAUUAAUCCAAAAAUAAUUUUAAAUUCAGAAUAUGGAAGAGAAAAAUAUUUAAAGAUUUUUGGUGAAAGUCCCAUAUUUUUUGGAUUAAAAAUGAAAUUAAUAUGAAUUAAACAAAAUAAAAGGAUUAAAUGAAAAUCAAAAAAUAAAAAGAAAUUCAAAAAAACAAGGGUCAUCAGAUCUCCCUCAUUAAUUGAGGUGGCAGAUCUGAUGGCCACAUGCGCGCAUUCCACCAUAUGCCUUAGUCAAUACGUUGCAUGCUUGGUAAUUAAAAGGAAAGGUCAGGAUUAAAACAUUUUGGAUGGAUCAAAUGGUUGAGAAUACGCCACCACACCAUCGGUGCUAGGGCUCCGAUCAUCUUCUCCAAUGAACCUCACCGGAUUGGAUGACCAACAACCAUCAUCAAAAUAAAAACAGGGACAUGAUUUUGAAGGAAAAAUGCUCAAGAGCUCGAAUCUAUCCUAAAUUCUCUCCAAUUCCAAGUAUAUUGAAAGAUACAAAGAUUUGAAUUUUGAGGAUCAUGAUCUGAGUUGCUUCGAUUUAACCUCAAAGCAACUCAAUCUUGUUGUCUAUAUUGGUAGGACUUCAGCAAACCAGCAACAAAUCAAAAUGGAUGAGAAAUAAGAGAGAGUCAAAGAAUAAAAGUUUCCAAAAUUUCACCUUUGAGGAGCUUCAAAUUGGCUUGAUCUUGCUUCCAAUUUGGCUUGGCUUGACUCUAGAAGCUUGCAGAAGAUGAUUUGGAUGGUUAAAAAGCUUGGACUCUUGGAGUUUCAAUUCAAAACCAUAAUGAGAAUUAAAAUUUUAUUUCUCAAGAAAUCUUCAAAAUUAUCCUUACAAUGGGGUUUGGGAGAGAAUGGGAAUGAAGUUUGGGGCAGAGGGAUCCAUUUUUGAGCUCAAAGCACUUGUAUUUAUAGACUUACUCAUUGUUUUUUGCACACUUCAAAAAAUGGCCAAAAUUGGAAAGGUGAGAUGCAUGCUUGCAUGGGCGUGUGAUAGGCCAAUGAGAUGAUGUAAUUCAGUCCAAAAGUGAUCAUAAGUAAUGCUGAAAGUGUAACAUGAAGCCAUGCAUUUGAAAUUGAAAAGUGGUAAUGAGAUUCAUCCAAAUGGAACCAUGAAGAGUAACCAUGCGCAAGUCAUUCAAACCUUGGCCAAAUGAAGUGAUUUUUGUCUUUUUGGAAAGGUGGGAUCAAGGGGAACAAGUUUCAUCUUGGAAACUUUUACAUUUGAAGCUUAGAUCAUGAUGAAUUUUGAGGUGGAAUUUUGGAAAAUCAAACAUAAUUGAAAAUUUUCUAUGUACCAAGUUAAAUGUUCACUUCUUCCACCUUGAAUAACUUUUCUUAUGACAAACAUAUCCCCUACAAACAUUGUAGGGGAUAGGGUCUAGUGAAGCCCAUUUUUGGACUCAUGGAGAAUCAUAUAUUCAUAAGAUGAUGUAUAAUAAAUUAUACCUUGAUAUAUUUGAUCAAAUGUUGAAGAAACUUACUGAGGAAGUCACACAAGAUACCCAAAUGAAUCAGGGCUUCCAAGGCAAACAAGCUUCGAACUCUUGAUGAAUUCUUUAUCAAAAUGAUAAAUGAAGAUCAUGGGGACCCAUAUAUGAUGUCUAGACCAAUUUUAACCAUAUAUUGAUUGAUCUCCUUGCAUUGAGGGUCUCAAACCCUAGUUAUGAGUUUGAUGAGGCAUUGGUGGAUGCACACACUACCUACAAAAGAAACAAAGCUAUACGUAGACAUAUUUUUGGUAUUUUGGUUAGUAAAUAAUAAAAAACAAAGUAUGACACAAUCAAAUAUGCUUGGUGAUCUCUCCCAAUGCAAAACUAAUGAAUGGGGGGUAAGGAGGAUGCCAAGGUGUGAUCCCAAAGCCAAUGCAAAUGAUGAGAUAUCAUGAGGGAUCUUAGGGUCAAAUUUGGGGUCUUACAGCUGCCUCUAUUUAAGGACAUUCUAAUUGAGGAUGUGAAGGUUAAAAUCUUCAUAUCAACUCAGUAUAAGGGACUUAAAUAACAACAUAUAGAAACAAAUUUUGGUCCCUAAGAGACCUCGCGAUGCAUAUGAUGUGAAUGUUAAAAUAAUAUUUAUGGGGAAUAUAUUGGCAUAAAGGAAAAGAGUUCGGAAGAGACUGAAGGUCCACAUGAGCACCAUGCAUUCCGUAAGGAAGAAUCAUUGAGGAGACAGAGACUCUAGGGGGAUAAAAAGUUAUGCAUAUGCCAGGCUGUGACUUAAAACUACUGGAGACACGAGGGGAAUUUCCAUGAAAAUAAAUCAAUGGAAGGACUCGGUUUGGGGAUAAGGGAAAUUUGUAAGGGAUAAGAAUAGAUCAGAACAAAACUGAAAUACUAAAACCAAACAAAGAACUGACGAUUUCACUAGGGAAAUACACAUUAAAACUCAACUAGGGAAGAAUGAACUUCAACAUAGGAGUACUAGAGAUAUAUUAUCUAUUACCGGUUACUGGGUAGAAAGAUAAUGUACUCUGGCAAAGGGACAUUCGUUACUGGUUAGAGUAAACAUAUCAAGGAUGACUCGCUGAGGAGAAAGAGGUGUAUUUGUUACCUGUUACUGGGUAAGAAUAACCUGUUGGGGAGAGAACUCAAAUAGGAUUUACAACUACCGGUUACUAGACAGAAGACCAAAGAGAGGGUAUAUGUCACUGGUUAAAGUGAACAUAUCAAGGAUAAACUCAAAGGAAGAAUAUUCGUCAUCAGUUAUGAUGAACAUGUCAAGGAUAAACUGUCAGGGAGAAAUGGGAAUUAUAUCUAUCAGUUACUGGAUAGAAUACCAAAGAGAGAAUAUCCAUCACCGGUUAGGAUGAACAUAUCAAGGAUAAACUCAGCAAGGGGAAGUAGGAAUUACAACUACUGGUUACUAGGUAGAAUACUAAAAAGGGGGAGGAAAAUUGUCACCGGUUAAAGUGAACAUAUCAAUGAUAGACUCCCUGGGGAAUAAAAUAGGAAUUAUAACUACCUUUUUACUGGAUAGAAAACUAAAAAAGGAAGAAUAUCUGUCACCGGUUAGGAUGAACAUAUCAAGGAUAGACUACCUGAGGAAACGUGAAAACGAAUCCGCUGGGGAAAACAAAGGAAGUAGAUCAAAUUUUAUCGGGUAUUAGGCAAAAGUAAUGUACUCAAAAAUCGAGAAGGAUAUUACCAGUUACUGGGUAAUAAACUCUCAGGGGACCAAAAUAUCUAUCUAGGUAGUAACUAGAAAGAAACGAUCAAACAAAGACUCGACCCAAAAAGGAUCUAACUCAAGGGGAGUGAUUCCAUCCAGAUAAUUAACUUGAGAGGAAACUGAAAUAAUAACCAUCCACGAGGAAAUAACUCAAUGAGGAAUGAGAAAGGUUAAACUCUUUCUGCUUAAGGGGGUGACACUCUACAAUUGAAGGAGGACAAACACACCAAAUAUGCCAGGGUAAAUAAUAUUACCGAAGCAAGGGAUCAGAAGAAAAAAUCAAAUGCUAUGAAAUGCAUAAUGAAAUAUCUGAUGAUGUAUUUUAUGCAUGAACAUGCAUGUAUAUGAUCAUGACUAUGCUAACAAAACAACACAAAUGAUACAAAUAACAAAGAUUUGAAUCACUACUGCAACACUCGACUAAUCUCAACAAGAUGGAAACACCAACUGGAGAAAAUGCUAGGGAUGAAAAUAAAUCAUCUAGCUCUGAAUAAAUCAGUCAUGGCUGGGAGAUUCAUGAAGAACAUGCUUCCAAUCAAUCAUGGUAAACUCUAUGGGGAGAGUACGACUCAAGGAUGAUCAACCAAACAUGUCGAGGAUAGAAAAAGGAUCUGCUGAGGAUCCAAAUUGUCAACACUGUAGGGAAUUUUAAGUCAACACCAUAUCAGAACGGGAGACAACCUUGUAGGGGACAAAAAUCAAACACUGCUCAGAAUCCAAUACUGCAGGGAAUGAGGGAUCUUCAUAUCAAAAGAUGAACUCCGUCGGGGAAUACAAGAGGUAAAACUUUGCAUGAGGAUUUAAGUAAAUUCUUGGUGAUGAUAUGACCGAGACCAUCACAUUCCUCAAUACUCAUUGAAUUCUUCUUGGAAAUUGCGAAAUAAACCAAUUCCAAGGCAAAGAUAACCGGAUCUGAUUCACACAAAGGAGGAACUACCGAAGUUAUGCAACAUAAUAAAAUGCAAAAAUGGAAACCAUAUUGGGGGAUACAGAACAUGAGCACCUCAGCUGGGGAAUAUGAGUUUGCAAAGGGGACCAAUCAUCAACUUAAUUCUACUGGGGAUGAUAAAUUACUCAGGGAGAAACUCAUCAACCAAGUUAGGGAUAAAUGAUGAAUUGUUGGAAGGAAAGUAAUUACCAAACCAACUGCUUAAGGAAGACCAACAAUAGUUCACACUUCAAGACUUACCUAUUCUCAGAUUGUUGUUGAUAUUCCUUACUGAAAUCGAUUAUUCUUAAAGUGAUUAUUUUUAUUAUUUUAAGAAACAUAAUUAUUAUUCAUUAAUUUAUUUUAAAAUUAUUAUCAUAAAAAUUCAAUUUUAUUUAGUAGAAGUAAGUAAGAAUAGAAAUAAUUGGAUAAAAACUCAACUUUAUUUAAUAGAAUGGUAGUCCGUAAAUGACGAGACUCCAUAGAUCUUUACAAAGUUUGAAAAUGGUAACUUACAUGGAAAAUUGCUACAUUGAAUACAAUGAUCACUACUUUCCCUACCAACUUCACCAUCCAUUAUGCUUGUCUUCGGUUGGGAAUGAUGAAUCAGAACCAAAUGACUUGCUCAAAACUGCUUCCAUGGUUAGGACCAACCGAAUGCAGUUACUUGCCAUAAUCCCCAAUUUUUGCCUAGAUUGCCCCAAGGCGGGGUACUCAAUCUACCGGGAUAAAUUUUCUAUUUUAUGUCUCUAAUUUUUGCCUGGAUCGUCCUUUCGGGUUUUUAAUCCACCGAGAUGCUCUUUUUUGCCUAAGCCGCCCUUUCGGGUUUCCAACUUAGCGAGCAAUUAUUUUCUUUUUAGGCGAAGUAUUUCUUGACUGCAUCGGUAUUCAUAGGACGGGUGAACUCUUCAUCAUCCAUAGUUGUAAGAAUCAAAGCACCGCCUAAAACGGCUCCCUUCACAACAUAUGGCCCUUCAUAAUUAGGAGUCCAUUUGCCCUUAACAUUGGGUUUGAAAGAUAAAAUCUUCUUGAGCACAAGGUCACCUUCUCUAAACACACGAGGCCUGACCUUCUUAUAAAAAGCUUUCUUCAUUCUUUGCUGAUAUAACUGACCAUGACACAUGGCAGUCAAUCUCUUCUCUUCAAUCAAAUUCAAUUAAUCAUAUUUGUUCUGGCACCAUUCAGCUUUUGUCAACUUAGCUUCCAUCAAAACACACAAUGAUGGGAUCUCAACCUCCACGGGGAGCACAAAUUCCAUACUAUAAACAAGAGAGAAAGGGGUUGCCCCUGUUGAAGUGCAUAUGGAUGUAUGGUACCCAUAUAAAGCAAAUGGUAGCAUCUCAUACCAAUCCUUAUAUCUCACACCCAUCUUCUGGAUGAUCUUCUUAAUGCUCUUAUUUGCAGCUUCAACAACCACAUCCAUUUUGGGUCUGUAGGGAGAAGAAUUAUGAUGUGUAAUCUUGAAGUCUUUGCAAAGAGCUUCCACCAUAGUAUUGCUCAAGUUCGAUCCAUUAUCAGUAAUGAUCUUGCUUGGCACACCAUAACGAUAUAUAAUUUGAUUCUUGAUAAACCUUACAACAACUUGCUUGGUCACAUUUGCAUACGAUGCCGCUUCAACCCACUUUGUGAAGUAAUCAAUAGCAAUAAGAAUGAAAUGAUGUCCAUUUGAAGCUUUAGGCUCAAUCAUACCAAUCAUAUCAAUUCCCCACAUGGAGAAGGGCCAUGGAGAGUAAAUGAUAUUUAACAGUGUCGGAGGAACAUGAAUCUUAUCUGUAUAAAUUUGACACUUGUGGCAUUUCUUCACAAACUUGCAACAAUCAGAUUCCAUUGUCAGUCAAUACUGACUUGCUCUCAACAUCUUCUUUACCAUAACAUGUCCAUUGGAAUGGGUACCAAAGGAACCUUCAUGGACUUCAGUCAUCAACAGGUCUGCUUCGUAUCUAUCCACACAUCUAAGCAAAACCAUAUCGAAGUUUCUCUUAUAAAGAACAUCACCAUUCAGGUAGAAAUUGUCGGUUAAUCUUCUCAAAGUCUUAUUAUCUUUCAAAGAUGCCCCAGAUGGGUAGAUCUGACUUUGGAGGAAACAUUUGAUAUCAAAAUACCAAGGCUUUUCAUCUUUGACUUCUUCGACAACAAACACAUGAGUUGGCCUAUCAAGAUGCAUCACAGUCAAAUUGGGAACUUCAUUCUAGAAUUUCACCACAAUCAUUGAAGCCAACGUUGCAAGAGCAUCUGUCAUCCGGUUUUCAUCUCGAGGGAUAUGAUGAAACUCAACUUUUGUAAAUAAAGUUGAUAUAUUUCUCGCAUAGUCUCUAUAUGGUAUCAAACUGGGUUGAUUCGUCUCUCAUUCACCUUUGAUCUGUUUCACAACCAAAGUUGAAUCUCCAUAGAUGUCAAGAUACUUGAUUCUGAGAUCAAUGUCCUCUUCAAGCCCCAAUAAUGCAAGCUUCAUACUCAUUCGUAUUGUUUGUACACUUGAAGGUCAAUCUAGUUGUAAACGGAAAAUGAGUGUCAUGAGGAGUAAUAAUCAUUGCCCCAAUGCCAUUACCAUACGAAUUAACAGCUUCAUCAAAUACCAUGCCCCAACGGAAACCAGGCUCUGGCCCUUCUUCAAGCAAUGGUUCAUCACAAUCUUUCAUCUUCAAGUACAAAAUAUCUUCAUCAGGAAAAUCAUACUGCAUUGACUGGUAAUCUCCAAUCGGCUGGUGAGCCAAAUGGUCAGCCAAGACACUACCUUUAAUUGCUUUCUGAGAUCGAUAUUCAAUAUCAUACUCAGAUAAUAACAUUUGCCAACAGGAAAUUCUCCCAAUUAAAGCAGGCUUCUAAAAAAUGUACUUGAUUGGAUCAAUUUUGGAUAUCAACCAAGUAGUAUGAUUCAACAUAUACUGGCGCAUACGCUUAGCAGCCUAAGCCAAUGCGCAACACGUCUUUUCAAGCAUAGAAUACCGAGUCUCACAAUCGGUGAACUUCUUACUAAGGUAGUAAAUUGCAUAUUCUUUCUUUCCAGAUUCAUCUUGUUGAUCCAGAACACAACCCAUACUCUCAUCUAUCACAGUCAGAUACAUGAUCAAUGGUCUUCCUUCAACAGGCGGAGACAAAAUCAGAGGCUCAAGUAGAUACUCUUUGAUACUAUCAAAAGCUUUCUGGAAAUCUUCAUUCCAAUCACAAGACUGAUCUUUCCGAAGAAGCUUGAAAAUAGGUGCACAUGUGACAGUCAUAUGUGAUAUAAAUCUUGAGAUAUAGUUCAAACAACCAAGAAAAGCUCUGACUUGCUUCUCAAUUUUGGGCGCAAGCAUUUCUUGAAUUGCUUUGACCUUGGCAGGAUCACUCUAUAGUAGAAUGUUCCUGAGGGUGUAAUGAAUAUGGUUUUCUUCAUAUCCUCAGGUGCCAUUUUGAUUUGAUUAUAACCGGAAAAUCCGUCCAUAAACGAAAAGAUUUUGAAUUUAGCCGUAUUGUCUACCAACAUAUCAAUGUGCGGUAGAGGAAAAUCAUCUUUCAGACUAGCUUUGUUCAAAUCUCUAUAAUCAACACACAUGAGGACUUUUCCAUCCUUCUUAGGAACAUGCAUAAUAUUGGCUACCCACUGCGGAUACUCGGAGGUUACAAGAAAAUCAUCAUCAAUUUGCUUUUUUACUUCCCCUUUGAUCUUUACUUCCAUAUCAAGGUGAGUUCUUCUCAACUUCUACUUGACCGAUGGGUAUUCUGGCUUCAACGACAAUCUAUGCUCCACAAUCUCAUAAUCCAACCCAUGCAUGUCUUGAUAGGACCUAGCAAACACAUCUAAAUAAUCUCGAAGAAGAUCAAUCAACCCCUUCUUAGCUUCUGGACACAGUUGAGACCCAAUCUUGACUUCCUUCACAUUAUCCUCGAACCCAAGUUGACCAAUUCAAUAUGCUCUUUAAACGGCUGAAUGGCUUUUUGCUCAUGCUCAAGCAAAUGAGAUAAUUCAUCAUAUACUUCUUCAUCAUCAAUCUUUUCCCCAGCUUCAAACACAGGGAAAUCAAAGCUUGAAGAAUGAGUAUGAUCAUUGUAUUCAAUGGGUUUGAGAACCAACCUGUAUAAUUAUUUGAUAUUUUGAUUUUAAAGAAGUGGGGUGCAAACAAAUAUUAUGCAGAUGGAAGAUUAUUAUUUAUUUAUGUUUUUUGUGAUUACCAUUUAAAAAAAAGCAAAAAGCAAAAAUAAAACAUCAUAGAUGUGGAUGAAUAAAAUUGUAUUUUAUUGAUGAUAAUAAUAAAAAUGCCCAACAAAGUUCACUCCUCCCUUAGGCAUAGGAGACAGAUUUUUCUCAAAAUAAUUAAAAAAAUUACUUAGAAUGGUGAAUGAAAACGGGAACAUCAACAGCAACCCAAUUGUUGCAAGUCUGGUUGUGCGUCACAAAGUUGACACAAGCUUCAUCUUCACCACUAAUGUCUUCAAUAACAGCAGUUGAGCGUUGAUCAUUCUCAUGAAUGAACCCUCCACUGUAGAAUACUGGUAGCAUAACUUUGACUUUCGCUUUGAACGACCCAGGUUGAAAUCCUAGUUUGACUCUGUUCUUGUUCUCGGCGACCUCUACAACACGACCCCAUUUGUCAAUGCUGCCAGCUUGAAUAGCCUCAUGUGCAUCUUUUAAAGAAGACAUGGGUGUCCCAGUUUUCUUUAACUCAUGAGCAAUAGAUAAGGCUUGGAACGACGUUCCAACCUCCUUCUCAGCAUCAACAUAUGUGAAAGAUGAUAAAUGGCUUACUAACAAUGCCUUCUCUCCACCAACAACGACAAGCUUACCGUUCUUCACAAAUUUCAGCUUUUGGUGAAGAGUAGAUGUCACUGCUCCAACUUCAUGAAUUCAUGGUCUUCCUAACAAGCAACUAUAGGCCGGGUGGAUAUCCAUUACUUGGAAAGUAACUUGGAAAUCACUCGGACCUAUCUUCACUUCUCCAAUGACAGUUUUACUAGAACCGUCAAACGCUUUGACAACUACGCCAUUAUACCUUGUUAGGGCGCCUUGAUAAGAGAGUCUUGACAAAGUUGAUUUUGGUAACACAUUUAAUAACAGACCAGUAUUAACCAACACAUUGGACAAAUCGUCCUCCUUGCAAUUCAUGGAAAUAUGUAAUGCCAAAUUAUGAUUUCCGCCUUCCUCAGGAAGCUCUUCAUCACAAAAACUCAAGUAAUUACAAGAAGUAAUGUUGGCAACUAUGUGGUCAAACUGAUCCACGGUAACAUCAUGCUCAACAUAAGCCUGUUCUAACACUUUCUGCAAUGCUUCUUUGUGCGCUUCAGAAUUCAUCAACAAUGACAACACGAAGAUCUUUGACAGAGUCUGGAGUAGCUGCUUUACAAUAUUGAAUUCACUUCUCUUAAUCAACUUUAACACCUCAUCAUCAUCGUUAGUCUUCAAUUUGCGGGAUUCACCAUACUGACACAUUGGAGCACUAACCGGAUUCACUACUAGAAUAUUUGCCUUCUUUCUUACUGAAACAUCUUCUACUAUGUUCAAAAAUACUAGACUGAACACACGACCGCUACGGGUCACCUUCAUAAUAUCUGCAAUGUUUACCACUUAAUCUACAACUGGCAGAGGAACCUCUUUACCAUUUUCAAUCAUAGUGGCAUUAUACUGAUAUGGCACAACUUUAUCGGAUGAGUAAGGGACAGGGCCCGCUAACUGUAUGACCAACGGCGGUACCGAUCUAUUGACAUUAUUAUUGUUGUUGCUAUCAAACUGAAUGACUACCCACUCAGGGGUCUUGAACACUGGACUAAUGACAUUCACAUCAUCUCCCAUAUUCCUCGACUGUUGAAUCUGGAUUACAUUCUCAUCCAUCAACUUCUGGAUAUCUCUCUUGACAACCAUACACCAUCGGGGGUUCACAUUACAAAUUACACAACCAUCAUGGUCAUGUUCACAGUCAUUGAUUAAACACAAAGUCUUAUGCAUCUCCACCAGAGAUAUUCGGAUACGUCUCACGUCAAAAACUCGGAAAUUCCCUAGACAGUUGUCCACCAUGUUGAUAGAAGCGUUACCAUGAAGAGGCAACAUAUUUGCUUUUACGUUCGGUGCUCUGUCCUCAAAGGACAUCAUACCACUCUUUACCGGCUUCUGAACUUCAUAUUUUAGAGGAUAACAAUUCUCUAUAUCAUGGCCAAUGGCUCCCUGGUGAAAAGCAUAAUGAAGAUCAGGCUUGAACCACCAUGGUAGUGGCUCAGGAAUUUGCGGAGGAUUUCUUGGUUGAAUGAGAACCAAUGAUGGGUAUAACUCUGCAUAAGUCAUAGGAAUAGGGUCAAAGGAGACCUUCUUCCUCUCAAAAUUGUAUUGGUGAUUAUUGUUGUUGUUGUAGUCACUACGCCAAAAACUAGAAUAGACAGCGCACCUUAGAGGGCGCUUUCUUAAAAAAGUGCACUCUAAAGUGAAGAGAAAAAUAAGGAGCGAACAACUGGAAUAGACAGCGCACUUUAGAGGGCGCUUUUGUAACAAAGUGCCCUCUAAAGUGAAGCGAAAAAAUAAUGAGGAAAUGGAGGGACACAAAUAGAGGGCGCGUUUAUGAAAGCGCCCUCUAAGGGUACCCUUAGAGGGCGCUUUUAAAAAAGCGCUCUCUAAGUCCAUGUACAUUUCCAGUUUAUAAGGCGCUUUUGGAAAGCCUUAGAGAGACUGACAAUCCAUUUUAUACAACAUUUAUCCUCUCAUAUAAUCAACCAUUAAUAUAUGAUAUUCAUGCAUGUACAACACAUUCCAUACAUAUAUGUACAACAACUACAACCUAUAGAUUCUUGAUCAAUAAUGAUUGACACAAUUCAUCCUUCAUUUCAUCCAAAUGAGCUCUUGAGUAAGAUUGUAUCGUCAAAUACUACAAUUAAGAGAAUAAAACAUAUUCAUGAUUUAGUAACAAAUUAGAUGAAAUACCGAUAAUAUUAAAAAUAACCCUAAUUAAGUUAUUAUUCCAUACCAUUUUUGGGAUGUCUAUACGAUUCAACGCAAUGAAUUCUCUCAUAAAUCUCAAUACAAAAAAUCCGCAAUCGACCGAAUUGAUUUUGGCUGAGGACACUACAACAGAAAAACAAACAAUAUAUAAUAUAUAUAAAUAAUAUAUAAUAUAUAUAUAUAUAUAUAUAUAUAUAUAUAUAUAAUAUUAAUUUCUUACAAACAUAUUAUAAGCAAAAAAACAAACACUAUUAUAAGCAAAAAUAAGAAACUUAAAUAUAUACCUGAACUCUGACCCAGGUAAUGUCCUUCCUAUUACGAUAAUUCUUUUUCGAUCUAAAUUUUAAUAUUGCCCUAAACAAAAUAAAAACGUAUAUUGAGAUCAAUACUGACAAAGCAUAAUUAAAUAUAACAAAUACACACGAAUAUUUAGGAGGAAUUUCACUUACGCCGUCACACCGUCUUCUUCAAUACUCGUGGAAUAUUUACUUCCAAUCACCCGAUAACGAAUCCGAGAUAAUACACCAUUAGCUCCCGAAAGAUCGAUAGCAACCAACAUCCAGGUGACCACUGUAAAAUAAAAACAAAAAUAUUUAGUCAUGAAAAUUUUCUACUAAAAGAUAUACAUAGAAUUUAAGAAUGAAAUUAUUAGAAAAAAUCUAACACGUUGUGCCAGAAUUAAACGGGUAAAAAUACAGAACUGGGUGUAGUAUUAUCGCCGGCUGCCAUGAAUCUAUCGACUAGUCAUUCUUACGGAUGUUGGAUUUUUCGUUAUUAACGUUUGUGUUGAUACGGAAGCAGCAAUAAAAUUGAAUCGGUUACACAAUUCAGUUCCCCGCAUCAAUGUGUCAUCAUAUACCUUAAUAGAAACAUAAUAAACAUUAGACUACUCAUUGAAAUGUGUAAAUAAAUUGUUCAACUAAGUAUAAUAAUUGAUCGAGUACCAUAUGUAUGUAUGAAUGACAGCGAUGCCCAUUCUUCGUGUUCAAAAGUUGUUGCAUGUCCUCCUUUACAAUUAUUUUGGAAUGAGCAAUUCCGAAAACACCUUCAUCAAUAUACACUACGGAUGGCGCGCGUGCAUAAUAUCUGACUCUUCCACCAUUUUCUCAAGACGCAUCAUAAUUUGAGAUUUUGUCCCGGACGUCGUUGGAAUAUCCUUACCAGCUUUUUCACUUUCGACCGGGAACCAAAAAAUUCAUAUAAAUUAAAUCAUGACUUUUUGUGAUGCACAGAAUCGUGCGUAUAUAAUUCAAAUGGGUAUAUAUAUUUGUACCUCUUUUGAGAUGCAACCGACUCGAGCGUCUUGAAAUCCCUUUACAGCUUUAUGUGUGGUCUUGUAGGAGUCUAACAUUCCAUGUAAUAAGGAUUGAUUAAAUAUCAUAAUUGUAGCUGAAUUGAAAUGUGAAUACUAAAUAUUCAUAAUCAUUUAGAACAUAUAUACCUCGCAUCUGGGAAAAUUAGAUCUGACGGCCAUCCAAAAAGGAUCCGAUCUGCAUCUCGCAUCAACGUUGUCUCUGAAACAACGUCAGGUAAUGUAGAGACGGCGUCCGUAUCUAAUACAAGGUCAACCGAAACUUUCAUAUAUCCACCGGGAGGGGAUUAUGGUGAAGUAAUUCACACCGAAGUGUGGGCACUUUCCCUUUCCAACCAUGCGAUAAGUUGGUGACGAUAGAUAGCUGACAAGGUGUAAUGCCCUAAACCAAUAAUAAUAUAUUAUUGUUAACGUGUAUAUGUGUCAAGUAAAAAAUGCUAUUUUAAUUUCAUAACAUUAUAAUUACCUCAGGAAUUUCGGUUGACAAUUGAUACUAGCUCGGUCACUAGUAUCUUUUGCCUCGGAACCGCACCUUUCCUCUCUAUACCUUGCAUUCUCCUUUUGCAGUUCGAGUACUUGUGCCCUUAACUCCGCCAAGGUCUCCAUACCUCUUUGUUGGUAGGAUUUUUUGUUUUUGGUUUUUUAUAAAAUGACGAUGGAGUCACACCAAACACUUACCCCUCACACGACGGAAUACUCAGGAACAUUUAGUACUCGACUAAGUACGCUCUCUGCAAUCCUGGACCUCGGUUGAGAGUAAGGUGCGGGAUAAAGUCUCCUGAAAUAUAUUAGAGAGAUUAAAAUGAAUUAUAUGUCUAUGACAAAAUUUUCUAUAUAGAUUAAAGAAAUAAUGUUACAUCAUACACACAUUCGUCAUANNNNNNNNNNNNNNNNNNNNNNNNNNNNNNNNNNNNNNNNNNNNNNNNNNNNNNNNNNNNNNNNNNNNNNNNNNNNNNNNNNNNNNNNNNNNNNNNNNNNNNNNNNNNNNNNNNNNNNNNNNNNNNNNNNNNNNNNNNNNNNNNNNNNNNNNNNNNNNNNNNNNNNNNNNNNNNNNNNNNNNNNNNNNNNNNNNNNNNNNNNNNNNNNNNNNNNNNNNNNNNNNNNNNNNNNNNNNNNNNNNNNNNNNNNNNNNNNNNNNNNNNNNNNNNNNNNNNNNNNNNNNNNNNNNNNNNNNNNNNNNNNNNNNNNNNNNNNNNNNNNNNNNNNNNNNNNNNNNNNNNNNNNNNNNNNNNNNNNNNNNNNNNNNNNNNNNNNNNNNNNNNNNNNNNNNNNNNNNNNNNNNNNNNNNNNNNNNNNNNNNNNNNNNNNNNNNNNNNNNNNNNNNNNNNNNNNNNNNNNNNNNNNNNNNNNNNNNNNNNNNNNNNNNNNNNNNNNNNNNNNNNNNNNNNNNNNNNNNNNNNNNNNNNNNNNNNNNNNNNNNNNNNNNNNNNNNNNNNNNNNNNNNNNNNNNNNNNNNNNNNNNNNNNNNNNNNNNNNNNNNNNNNNNNNNNNNNNNNNNNNNNNNNNNNNNNNNNNNNNNNNNNNNNNNNNNNNNNNNNNNNNNNNNNNNNNNNNNNNNNNNNNNNNNNNNNNNNNNNNNNNNNNNNNNNNNNNNNNNNNNNNNNNNNNNNNNNNNNNNNNNNNNNNNNNNNNNNNNNNNNNNNNNNNNNNNNNNNNNNNNNNNNNNNNNNNNNNNNNNNNNNNNNNNNNNNNNNNNNNNNNNNNNNNNNNNNNNNNNNNNNNNNNNNNNNNNNNNNNNNNNNNNNNNNNNNNNNNNNNNNNNNNNNNNNNNNNNNNNNNNNNNNNNNNNNNNNNNNNNNNNNNNNNNNNNNNNNNNNNNNNNNNNNNNNNNNNNNNNNNNNNNNNNNNNNNNNNNNNNNNNNNNNNNNNNNNNNNNNNNNNNNNNNNNNNNNNNNNNNNNNNNNNNNNNNNNNNNNNNNNNNNNNNNNNNNNNNNNNNNNNNNNNNNNNNNNNNNNNNNNNNNNNNNNUUAGGGUUUAUUUUAAUAUUAUCGGAUAUUUCAUCUAAUUUGUUACUAAAUCAUGAAUAUGUUUUAUUCUCUUAAUUGUAGUACUUUGACGAAUACAAAUCUUACUCAAGAGCUCAUUUGGAUGAAAUGAAGGAUGAAUUGUGUCAAUUCAUUAUUGAUCAUAGAAUCAUAUAGGUUGUAGUUGUUGUACAUAUAUGUAUGGAAUGUUGUUGUACAUGCAUGAAUAUCAAUAUAUUAAUGUUGUAUAUAUGGAGGAUAAAUGUUGUAUAUAAAUGGAUUCAUGUUGUAUAUAUCAAUGGAUUAAUGGUGUAUAACAUUGGAUUAAAGGAUGAAAUCAAUAUGAAUUUUACACUUUUGCAGCAUGCACAGGUUCCCAAUUAAAUACCCACUGUUUUUCAAACAAUUUUUUUUUAAAAUAACUAACACUUUAGAGGGCGCUUUCUGUAGGAAGCGCCCUCUAAACACUUUACAUUGACAACUUUAGAGGGCGCUUUUUCCAGAAAACGCCCUCUAAGGUGGCCCUUUAUGGACCACUCCAGAGGGCGCUUUUUUCUGAAAGCGCACUAUAAUAUGGCCCUUAAAGGGCCACUUUAGAGAGCGCUUUCUCCAGGAAACACAAAGCGCUGUCUUUACCUAUGCCAGCGCCACUUUAGAGGGCGCUUAAAAGCGUUGUUAUAGGCCAAAAUAAGCGCCCUCUUUUCCCUUAUUUUGGCGUAGUGAGUUGGUUCUUUGUUGCGGUUGUUGCUGAUGUUGUUGUUGCUGAAUUGGAAUUGAUUGAUUAGAGUUGUUGGAAAAAACUGGAAUUACUAAAGAGACUUGGUGCUGAUGUUGAUGGGGUUGAGAACUCUUUCUGACAUGAGGCCUCCUCUGCCUCCCCAUUGAUACUGAAUUAUUUUCUCCUUCCUUCCUCUUGGAGAAACUCCCACCAUACUUCUUGCUGGCUGGUGCUUCUUCCUUAGACAAGCGUCCUUCAUGGACUCCUUCUUCUAGCCUCAUCCACAUGUUUACCAUUUCGGAAAAGUCAUUAGGGGCACUCGCAAUCAUACGUUAGUAAUAAAAUGAACUCAGCGUCUUCAAGAAGAUUUUUCUCAUUUCCUUCUCUUCAAGAGGUGGACUUAUAUGAGCAACCAAUUCUCUCCAUCUCUGGGCAUAUUCUUUGAAUGUCUCUUUAUUCUUCUGAGACAUAGACCUCAACUAGUCUCUAUCAUGCACCAUAUCCAUAUUUUACUUAUACUGCUCGACAAAGGCCUCGCCUAAGUCAUUGAAAGUAUGAAUGCUUGCACUGUUCAGACCCAUGUACACCUCAAGACAACUCUAGUUAAAUUAUCUUGGAAAUAGUGAAUCAACAACUAAUCAUUAUCAGUCUGAAUAAACAUUUUCUUGGCAUACAACACAAGAUGGCUUAGCGGUAAAGUAUUCCCUUUAUAUUUUUCAAAGUCUAGGACCUUGAAUUUCACUGGGAUCUUAACAUUGGGGACCAAGCAGAGUUCAACAACACUCUUCCCAAACAAGUCUUUCCCUCUUAGAGUCUUCAACUUUUUGCGCAACUCGAGGAAUUGAUCUUUCAUCUUAUCCAUCUUCUCAUAUAUAUCUGGACCCUCAGACGACUUAGAGUGGUUGAUAGUUUCCUCAACACGAGGAAGAGUGUGAACAACCAGAGGUGGCACUAACAUGAUUGGGCUAGAUGCUGGCAGAGAAACAAAGGUGGGUGCAUACCCUUCUGGCAUAAAAUUUGACGGCAUUCCCCAAGGAAAUCCAGAAGGCAUUGAAGGAAUAGAUUGACUGGCAGCAACAAUAGGAACAGUUGAGGUAUCAACCUCAAAAAUGACAGUCCUCUGAGGAGGAGGAGGAGUUGCAGAAGUUGGUGAUGACUGAUUCUGGGCAGCAAUCACAGAUUCCAUCAGCCUUGUAAGCCUGACAAUCUCAUCCUUUAGAUAUCGGUUCUUUUGCUCUAGAUGAUCCAUUCUCUUCGGUUGAUUAGCGCGAGUAUUAUAGCGGUGAGUCAGCUUGGUUGAUGCACAGAAGAAGAACAAAUAAGACAUUUGGCGACAAAAACUUGUUAUGCAAAUGAUGCAUGAAAUGCAAUGUUUUUUAUUGUUUUUUUUUAAUUUCAAGGAAUAUAUGAAGUCUCAUUUUCAAAUAUAUAUUCAAAUAAUAACAAUAAUAACAUUUUGAUUGACCAACAAAUCUCUUUUUAUUCAUAAAAAUUGGAAGGAUUACACUUAGUACAAUUUCAGAAACCAAAAUACAAAUACAAGAGAAAAGGAAACUAUCAUCCUAAGGAUCCUUAGCAACUGCGUCAGAUGACUUGGCUAUGGGUGCAUACUUCCUUCGGAUGCGUUGAAUCUCGGACACAAAGGAUGUCUUUAUCUGAGCCUUCUCAAGAACUAGCUGAUCAACAAUCUUCUUUCAAGCACCGGAAGGCUGAGGCAUACUAGAGGAAGAUAGACCCUCUGGUUCUCUCUGUCUCUUCAUUGCACGAUCUUCAAGAAUCUCAAUAAGUACGUCUUUAUCUUUCGACUCAAGCUGCAACUCGUCAUGCUUUCGGCUCAAAGCAUGGAACCGUUCUUCCCACAUAUCUUUAUCUUGCUUCAUCUUGGUGAGUGUGUCUUCCAACUCCUCUAUAUCUUGGUUAGAGAGAGUUGAUGGCUCAGCCAUAACCAAAGACAUAGGUCUUUCACAAGCGUACAACAUCUUCAGAUCUAGAGCUCUCUUCUUCACCCAAAUAUUGUAAGCUUUCAAAGCCACACAGUUACGUGGACCAAGCUCGGAUCUUCCUUUCUUAUGCACAUUAUGUCAAGUAUGUAUCAUCCUCUGCUUCAAAUGUUGGAGAUCUUUACCCUCUUAAUAAAAUAGGCCUUCCAACUGAGUGUUAUUAGGUUUAUCUCUCAAGGGGAACCCAAGUUGACGACGAGCCAAAGCAGGGUUGUAGUUGAUUCCUCCUUGUGUACCAAUGAGAGACACAUUAGAGAAUUCACCACAAUUAUCAAUAAUGUCCAUACUACUAAGUGCAGAAUCAUACCAAACAAUAUCAUCAUUAGUGAGAGACAUAAGUCUCUGAGACCACCGUAGACAUUGCUUGUUCUCCAAAAAAGCAGGCAUCUAAGGUAAUUGCGAAAUAAACCACUUGUACAAAAGAGGAACACAACACACAAUUGUCCCACCACCUUUAGAAUUCCCCAAAUGAAAAAGAAAUACAUGUCACCCAACAGAGUCGGAACAUGAUUCCCAAUCAAGAAGAUUCUAAUAGAGUUAACAUCAACAAAAUCAUCAAUGUUAGGGAACAAAGCUAGACCAUAGAUGAGCAAUACAAAGAUGGCUUCAAAAACAUUUAUACUACCGGCUUGAGCAAAUACAAUAGCUUUACCAAUGAGGAACCCAUAAGUCAACCCAAGAAUACCUCAUUUCUUCACCAAAUGAGCAUUAACUUCAUAUUUCUUUAGAUGAAGAGCUUCAUCUAUAACAUGAGAUUUGGGAAUCUCCUUCAAUCCAUUAAAAGGUACUUUGUCAGAUACAGGUAUUCCCAAGAGAUGGACAUACUCCUCUAAUGUACGUACAAGCUGAUAAUCGAGAAAAGUGAAGCACCGAUAGAGAGGAUCGUAGAACUGAACCAAAACACUCAGAAGUCCUUUAACCACAUCAGCAGAUAAUAUAGACAAAAGCUUCCCAUGAUGUUGCUUGAAGUCCAAGGAAUCUAAUACAAAGGAUGACAACUUCCUUAGCUCUUUCAAAUCAGGACAUCUGAAAUUGUACUUCUUAGUGUUCCUUCAUCCAUAAUCCAUGGUCUGAAAAUAUUUGCAAACAGGACCUUAGUUCCUUGAAAUUUAUUUUUCUGUGAUAAAUGUCAUGAUGCGCAUGUAUGCAUGAAUGCAAAAAUUACACACAAGGCAAACACAAACAAAGGUCAAGGGAUGGAUCAAGUCAUCAUCAAGAUCAAUCAUACAUUUUGGUGGAUUAUGGUUUUCACCUUAUCAACACUCAAGCUCCACUGUUAUUGAUGAGACUUUAUUGGAUCAAGCGAGAAUCAAAGGGUUUGUUGUGAGUCACGAGUAUUGAGUCAGGUUAAGAACCAUCUCAAAGGAGUGUGCUAAGGACAAAAACCUAUAAAUCACGUUCUAAAAAGUUCCUAGAGUCUUAAUCCUAUCUAUAGGAUAUUAUAUGUUAGGAUGACUGACUCAUCAACCCAUAAUAUUCUCAAGAGAAACUCGUCUGAGUGUAGUAUCGCGUAACAACUGUGAUCAAGUCUACACCUGAACAGUCUUUGCACUACCUCCUAAAUAGGCCAAGUUGGGUUAAAUGUUAUACGGUCUUCAGCUUCUCGGACCCUAAAUCAGAUAAAGUAAUGCAUAUCCACAAAUAACUUGUGUGACAUCAGUAACUCCAAAGAGGUAUCCACUAAGUAGACGGGUCUCAAGCCAACUUGUUAAGGACUACUCCACACAAGUUGAACAUGACUAUACCAUCCUCCUAUCUUAAUUGCACUCAAGUUUGGGUUAGAACUUAUCUCACCACACAAAGAUCACCAAGCAUAACAGACAGAUUAUAUCACACAGAAAAUGUACAAACAUCAAAUAUACAUAUAUAUACACAUAAAAAGGCAGGCUAAACCCAUUGGGGACUACUCCCCAACAGAGUCGCCACUUAAUUUUUGUAGCGGUAAAUUCAUGACCAUCAAGCUAUGGAUAAGCUUAAAGUAAAUAAAACCAGAGUCGCCACCGCACUUUUAUUGUUUCCAAGGGAAAAGGGAAAGGUACAAACAAAAACCAAAGAUAAGAAGUUUUCAAAUCAAAACUAAUAAAAUGCCAGAGAUUACAGGUAAGGGGAUUGGUUACACAGAGAGAAGGUGUUAGCACCCAAAGUGUCCUAGGUACUCUUAGGGAGCCUUUUUUAUGCGUGCAUAUGUGUUUGGUAUAAAAGAUGUUUGAGAAAAAUAGAGUGUGGGGGUGAGAAAAGAAUUCAUUGAUUAUAUUUUUGUGUUUGACAAGACCUUCAGACUUGUGCCUACGUACUAACAUAAAAAUGAGGGAUCAAAACCUCAUAGUUCGUGGUAAAAAUUUCAAAUGAGUUGGUGCAUUGAUUUUAACAAAAGUUUAGAUGAAAAGGCUUAAAAGACCAAAAAUUUGAAUAGGGUUGUUAAUUCUUUUUUGUCUUUUUUGAAAUUUAAGUUAAUAUAGUUAAGUUUAUUUACAAUAUUGAUUUAAGAAAAAGUUUGAAAAAAUUCAAUGACAUAAAUCCAAAGUUUCUUAUCAUUAAAACAUGUCUAAAUUUGAAAUUACAAGCAAAGAAAGUUUUUGAAAAGAUGGAGAGAUUUUGAAAUUUAAGAAAUGGAAGGAGAUGAAGAGGUUAUCCUAAGCACAAAAUUAAAAGUUAAGAGUUGAAAAGAUCUGACCAAUGGGAUGCAAUCCAACAGACAAGAAUGUCAUAUAGAAAUCCAUUUUCCUUUGGACUUUAAUCAAGCAAUGAGCAAUAUCCAAAAAUCAUGAAGAUCAAGGCAUCAAAUAAAGAUAGGCACAUCCAAGCAAGCAACUUCAAUAGCUAGCAAUCUUCAUUGUUUUUCAAUGUAUCAGAUGAAAUAUUCCGUGAUCAACUUAUAAUAAAGCAUCAGAUACAAGAUCAAAAUAACAAUUAAGCACAAAGACAAAGUAGAAAAUGAACCCAAGAAAUUCCCAAGGCUUGUAUCAGAUGAAUGCACAGUUCAAAAUAGCUUAGUCUUAAAAUGUUGGCAUUGACACCUUUUAGCAUAGGGAAUGUUGCUUAAUCCUAAGUCCAAAAGUUCAUAUCAAGUUCAACAGUCCACCAUAUGUUUUUUAGGGUUUUUCUUGUUAUUAGGUAUUUUAAGGUCCUAAGACCACAAACAAAAACAAAACACACAAACAAUAUAUACACAAUCACAAGAUAUGACUUAAAUGAUCAAAGUGAAAAUGACAUGAUCAUAAACAAGUUAUAUGAAAUGUAAAUGGCAAUGAAUGAUAAAUGACUGAAAUUUAAAUUACAUAAUAGUAAAUGAUUUGAAAUUGAAGCAAUAUUAACAAGAAUUAGUCAAAUGUUAGUCAAAAGUUAGUCAAGUGUUAAUGGUGAUUUAAUUGAUUAAGUCAUUCUUUUGAGAACACUCAACCAUUCAUUCACAAGUAUGAAUCCUUAAACCAAGAUAUCUUCCAUGAGAAGGGCUCCAACUUGGAUAACUCAACAAGUAUGCCACUAGCUCCCAUGAAAGGAAAAAAAGUCAAGUCUCCACACAAUGCCAUGAAGAAUGGGAAACUUAGAAUCUCACUUACUAGAAUGUUAUGCCUCGAGGGUCAAAUUUAGCUCAAUGUUAGCAAUCGUAAUUGAACUUAUGUAGAAGUCACAACUAUCUGAGGCCAGGCAAAAAAAUCUAGGUGUUAAUGCAUGUUAGAGAUUUGGUAUGAAUACCAAACUCUUAGGACAUACCACACACUAAAAGAAAAGUCAAAAGGGAGGGACAUAUCUUAGUCAUACUUGUAUUGAUUCAUCUGACACAAGGUCAUUGAUGAAUCAAUUAGCCUUUAGACAUUAGAGAUUUCAUUGGUUAAAUGAUGGAAUGGGAAAGAAUAGAGAUGAAGAUGAAGAGGGAGGGGGAGAUAGAAACACAAAUUGAUCAUGGGAGGACUUUCAUCAAAUCAAAACCAUCCAUUCCUUUUGGGAGAUGAAAUGUACAUUUCAUCAAUCCCCUAAAUCCAAUGGUUUUGAUCCAACAUAAGUCAAGCAUUUAAUCUAAUGGUUUUGACAUCACAAGACCAUAGAAAUGGCUCAACAAUAUUUUCAAGCAUUUAAUCAAUUAAAAAUCACAUUAAAAAUGAAUUAAAAUACAUUUUAAUUUGGUCAAAACCUAAAAUCCCUUCAAAACACCAAAUAAAUGGCCAAGGGAUUUAUCAUGGGUCAAACAAGGUCAAAGGACCUUCGACAAAAAUUUUCACUUUUUUUGAAAAGUCAGAAGUAUUUUUAAACAAUUAAAAAUAUGCACAAAAACAUUUAAUUCAUGAAAAAUAUCAAAAUUCAUCCAAAAAAUAAUUUUAAUUCCGAAUAUGGAAGAGAAAAAUAUUUAAAGACUUUUGGUGAAAGUAUCAUAUUUUUUUGGGUUAAAAAUGAAAUUAAUAUGAAUUAAACAAAAUAAAGAGAUUAAAUGAAAAAUCAGAAAAUAAAAAGAAAUUCAAAAAAACAAGGGCCACCAGAUCUCCCUCAUUAAUUGAGGUGGCAGAUCUGAUGGCCACACGCGCGUAUUCCACCAUAUGCCUUAGUCAAUGCACUACAAGCUUGGUAAUUAAAAGGAAAAGCCAGGAUUAAAACAUUUUGGAUGGAUUAAAUGAUUGAGAAUACACCACCACACCACUGGAGCUAGGGCUCCGACCAUCUUCUCCGGUGAGCCUCACUGGACUGGAUGACAAACAAUGAUCACCAUAAUGAAAAACAAGGACAUGAUUUUGAAGGAAAAAUGCUCAGGAACUCGAAUAUGGCCUCAAUUCUUUUCAAUUCCAAGUAUAUUGAAAAAUACAGGGAUUUGAAUUUUGAGGAUCAUGAUCUGAGUUGCUUCGAUUUGACCUCAAAGCAACUCAAUCUUGUUGCAUACAUUGGUAGGACUUCAGCAAACCAACAUCAAUCAAAAUGGAUGAGAAAUAAGAGAGAAUCAAAGAAUAAAAGUUUCUGAAAUUUCACCUUUGAAGAGCUUCAAAUUGGGUUGAUUUUGCUUCCAAUUUGGCUUGGCUUUACUCUAGAAGCUUGUAGAAGAUGAUUUGGAUGGUUAAAAAGCUUGGACUCUUGGAGUUUCAAUUCAAAACCAGAAUGAGAAUUAAAACUCGAUUUCUCAAGAAAUCUUCAAGAUUAUCCUUUCAAUGGGGUUUGGGAGAGAAUGGGAACAAAGCUUAGGCCAGAGGGGUCCAUUUCUGAGCUCAAAGCACUUGAAUUUAUAGACUUACUCAUUAUUUUUUGCACACUUCAAAAAUUGGCCAAAAUUGGAAAGGUGAGAUGCAUGCUUCCAUGGGCAUGUGAUAGGCCCACGAGAUGAUGUAAUUCAGUCCAAAAGUGAUCAUGAGCAAUGCUAAAAGUGUAACAUGAAGCCAUGCAUUUAAAAUUGAAAAGUGGUAAUGAGAUUCAUCCAAAUGGAACCAUGAAGAGUAACCAUGCGCAAGUCAUUCAAACCUUGGCCAAAUGAAGUGAUUUUUGUCUUUCUGGAAAGGUGGGAUCAAGGGGAAUAACUUUCACGUUGAAAACUUUUAAAUUUGAAGCUUGGAUCAUGAUGAAUUUUGAGGUGGAAUUUUGGAAAAUCAAACAUAAUUGAAAAUUUUCUAUGUACCAAGUUAAAUGUUCACUUCUUCCACCUUGAAUAACGUUUGCUAUGAGUUUCAAAUGGAAAAAAGUUACUUCAUCAAAGUUGUAUCCCUUUCAAUCCUCUUAAAUUUGGUCACAAAUUUGACCUUAUUUGUGUUUGGCAUGAAGGAGUUAUGCAUUUUAGAAGUUGAGGAAAAUUGUUUGUUCAAUGGUAAUGACCCAAAAUGACCUAUAAUCUUUCCUCUUGGCACAUGCCCUUGCAGGUUGAAUUUGAAGUUUCUAAAAGAAUCAAAGUUGGAAAGUACAUAUUGAAAUUGAUCAUGAAACUUGGAUGACCUUCAUCUCAUAAAAACUUAGCAAGUUAUGGUCCUUGGAAGUUGACCUUCUAACUAGGGCACGAACAAAAUGACCUAUAAUCUUUCACCAUAAAAAAUGACUUUCCAAGAAAAACUAGCUCUUGACCUCAACAUGAAAGUUAUUUGUAAUGUCAUAAGGAGUAAUUUUUAUAUUGGAAUAUAAAUUAUUAUGAGUUGAGUUGAACAUAUAAAAUAUAAAUUAUUAUGAGUUGAGUUGAACAUAUCCGUAAAUAAAUAAAUAUGAAUAAUUUAUGAAUCAAUUAGAUUUGAAUCCGCGGAUUUAUGGAUAAACUCGUAUCCAUAAACACUUUUUUUGAGAAUUUGGAUAUAAUGGAAAUUUAAAAUCAACAUUUUAUAGUAGUUUCUAGUACACAUACAUUAAAGUUUUUAUAUUUUAUUUUUUCAUUUAAUAUUGCUGUCAUUUUUUUUACCAUAGCCCUUUCAAUUCUAAAAAAAAUUCAAACGAAUCAUAUAAAAUAAUGAAAUUCAUGAAAAUUUUAAAUAAUAAAAGAAAUAAUAUAAAAAAAAAGGUCAUAAAGAGAAAAAUAGCUUUUUUUGGUGUGAUACAUCUCCUUUUUUCCUACACUCGAUUUGACUACACAAGUGACCACUGUCUUUUAACCCAAACCUCCUAUACUUCUUACAAAUGCUCUUUUCUAAUUGGCGGAUUCCAAAUCCCACAUUUCAUUCCACUUAAUCAUCUCAACAAAAUCCUCCACGGUCAACCGGUUGAACCCACCCUCCCUUUCUUCCAACGCUAUCCACCCCCACUUCUCUCUCUCACCUGCUCUCCCGGUUCCCCGUCGACCCACUCCCCGACUUCAUUUGGACUUCAUUUGGCGUGCAUUUCAGCAUCAUUUCACUCUCAUUUCACUCUCCUCCAAAACUUUUUUAAAUUCACCCUAAAUUCUCCUUCAUUUCAUUUCAAUUUCAUUUCAAUUUCAAAAACGUUACUUCUCUCUCUCCUUCACUCCUCUCUCCCUCUCUCUCUCUCGUUUCUAUCAAUGGAGAUGCAAAACCUCUGAUUCUCUCUCUACCAGAUCUAGUUUCCAUCUUCCGAUUCACUCUUCCGCAUUCUCCAUUUUCCGAUCAGAUUUCCGAUUAGCUUUUCCUUUUCCGAUCAUCUUUAUCAUCGUUCAACUUCAUUUGGAUUUUGAAGCCGAUCUCAUCACAACCACUCCUAAUCGGUAAGUCUUCACUCUGCAAUUCAAUCGAUCGAUCCUUUUACUCGAUCUGAAAAUUUUUUUUAAAAAAAAUUUCCACCGAUAUAUAUAUUAUAUAUAUAUAUAUGUAUGUAUGUUCAUUUUAUUAAUUUUAGGUUUUUAUUUUUUAUUUUCUAAUGUUAGUUUAUCUUGUUUAUUAUUUUUCUAUACAAAUUUAGGCUUCUCCAAAGAAAUUUGUUGAAAAAAUUAUUUUGCAUCUCAAUGAUAAUUAUAAUAAUAUAAUAGUAAUAUAAUAAAAAUAACCUUAGUAAUAAUAAUAGUAAUAGAUAGGUAUAGAAAAGAAGGACUUUUUAUUUUAUUUUUAAAUGAUACUAUUUUAUGUCUGAAAAACUGAUCAUUGUUUUUUUUUGGGAGAUUUUGUAGUGAGUUUGUGAUUAUGUUUUAUUUUUUAAUUAUUUAAUUAAAUAAUGUUUUUUAAUGUUUUUUAUUUGAUUUACUGAUUUUUCUGAUGCUGUAGAUUCGUGAUGUUAUAAGAGAUGCGAUAUUUACUUGGUUAAAAUGGGAAUAAGAAUCAUGCAUAUCUGUUUUCUUUUUCUUUAAUUUUUUAAAUAUUUUUGUUGACGAUGUUUUACCUUUAAUUAUUCUUUUUUUAUAUGAUUCCGGAUUUUAUUCAGAUCUAUAUCCUUGCGUAAAGAAUCAUGUGUCUUGUAUGUCUAUGCGAUUUUGUUGGAAUAUUAGCCCCCAACUCUUUAUACUUUUUUCUAUUUACGCUAUUUUAUGCAAGAAUGAAGUUCUAUUUACGCUAUUGGUUGUGACUUGUGUGUUACUGUGUUCUACUUUUGUGUUUUAAAUUUUGUUUGGGAAAUGAUGGUUAAGUUUACAUAUUCUUGAGGUAUGAGUAAUAUUGUUAAUUGUUAUUUUGACUUGAAAAACAUGUGUAUUAACUUGUGGGUUUGUUUGUCUUUGUAUUGUUUUUGUUUUAAUUUAGUUAGUUUGUUUCAGUGUCAUAUUGUUAUUUGAUCUUCCAAUGUUCUUAUUAAGUUUUCAUCUCAUCUAUUAAAGGAUAUGCUUGUCUUGUUAUGUUACCUUAUAUGUAAAGGUGCAAAUGUGAGACUUUAUAUGAUAAUUUCCCUUUUAUAAUUACCAUAGUUGUUAAUUGUAGGUCCAAAUGCAAUUUGUUAUUGUGUUAUUGAUGUGUGAAGUUGUUCAAUUAUUAUGGAUUAUUCUCUUUUUGAUUUUAUGACCAAUGACAUUGGUAUUUGGUUUAUAUUUUGUUUGGCCCUAUUAUUUUGUUGAAUGUUAAAUUGUUUUAUAUGUUAGGUUUGUUUUUGGAACUUGUAGUAUUUGAAAUUUGUAUUUAGACCCCUAAUUUAAUUUUCAGCAACCCCAUUAAUUUAUUUAAGCUAGAAGGAUCUAAUUUUAAUUUCUAAAUUCUAGAAAUCUUUUUGAAAUUUGUCAUGUAGUAUAUAUCUGUUAAUUUGGCGGAUUAAACUAGCUUUUUGCUUGUCAAUUUUAUUUCUCUGGUCACUUAAUUUGAUGGUCAUUUUUGUUCAGCUAAUUGAAGGAUGUGCAGUGGUCCUGACAAAUCAAAAUCUCGUUCAACUUGUUCAUCUUCAUCUGCGGAAGAAGGUUCAAAUAACAUCAAAGACAUGAAAAACCUAACAGUUCAUACCGAUGAUUCUUUUUCCAGCUUGCUUGAACUUGCUUCUAACAAUGAUUUUGAAGAAUUUAAGGUAGCUAUAGCUAGCAAUGUCUCCUUAAUAAAUGAAGUUGGCUUCUGGUAUGUCCGCCAAAAGGGAUCUAAACAAAUUGUUCUUGAGCACAGAACCCCUUUAAUGGUGGCUGCGUCCUAUGGAAGUGUUGAUGUUCUUAAGCUUGUACUCUCAUGUCCAGAGGCUGAUGUAAAUUUCUCUUGUGGUAAUGAUAAAAGCACUGCUCUUCACUGUGCUGCUUCAGGUGGUUCGGUUAAUGCAGUUGAUGCUGUUAAACUGCUUUUAUCCGCUGGUGCGAAUAUCAACUGUGUGGAUGCUAAUGGGAACCGUCCAGUUGAUGUUAUUGUUGUUCCACCUAAGCCUGGAGGUGUGAAAGUAAUUCUUGAAGAACUUCUCACCGAUAGUGAUUCUGAUGGCUCUGUUGAUGAUUGUUCUCUUCCACUAUCUGUUAAUUCAUCAAGUCCUCGUUCAGCUGCCCCUUUAUCAUCAACUGAAAAUGGGUCUCCAUCCUCUCCUGUGGCUCCUAAGUUUACUGACGCAGCUGUUAACUCAGCCUCUGAAAAGAAAGAAUACCCAAUUGAUCCGUCACUUCCUGAUAUAAAAAACAGCAUAUAUGCCACAGAUGAAUUUCGCAUGUUUUCAUUCAAGGUUCGCCCUUGUUCUCGUGCAUACUCUCAUGAUUGGACUGAGUGUCCUUUUGUUCAUCCUGGAGAGAAUGCUAGAAGGAGAGACCCCAGAAAGUUUCAUUACAGCUGUGUGCCAUGCCCUGAUUUUAGAAAAGGGGCUUGCAGACGUGGUGAUAUGUGUGAAUAUGCCCACGGAGUAUUUGAGUGCUGGCUACACCCAGCUCAGUAUCGGACAAGACUCUGCAAAGAUGGUACUAGUUGUAACCGAAGGGUGUGCUUUUUUGCUCACUUACCUGAAGAGCUGCGUCCAUUGUACGUGUCCACUGGAUCUGCUGUUCCUUCACCCCGGUCAGCUGCAUCUGCUCCUAAUGUCAUGGACAUGGCUGCUGCUAUGAGCCUUUUUCCUGGUUCACCAUCAUCAAUGUCUCCUAUGUCUCCUUCUCCCUUUGCACAGCCAAUAUCUCCAUCUGCAAAUGGCAUCUCUCACUCAAAUAAUCCUUGGCCACAGCCAAAUGUGCCAGCACUUCACUUACCUGGAAGCAAUAUUCAAACUAGUCGUUUGAGAUCUUCUCUUUGUGCCCGAGAUAUGCCACUUGAAGACUUCAACAAUAUGAUGCAAGACUUCGACGGUCAGCAGCACAUACUAAAUGACAUGAGCUGUUUCUCACAGCCCCGUCCUGGUGCUAUAUCAGUGAGUCGAUCCGGUCGGUCCAAAACACUAACUCCAUCAAAUCUUGAGGAUCUAUUCUCUGCUGAAGUUUCUUCAUCUCCUCGGUAUUCCGACCCAGCAGCAGCUUCUGUAUUUUCCCCAACACACAAAUCAGCUGUCUUCAACCAGUUUCAACAGCUUCAAAGUUCACUAUCACCCAUCAAUACAAAUGUCAUGUCACCCAAGAAUGUUGAGCAUCCUCUAUUCCAUAGCUUCUGUAUUUUCCCCAACACACAAAUCAGCUGUCUUCAACCAGUUUCAACAGCUUCAAAGUUCACUAUCACCCAUCAAUACAAAUGUCAUGUCACCCAAGAAUGUUGAGCAUCCUCUAUUCCACCAGGCUUCAUAUGGUGUCUCUUCUCCUGGAAGGAUGUCACCAAGAAGCAUGGAACCCCUCUCUCCAAUGAAUUCUCGAUUGUCAGCAUUUGCUCAGCGUGAGAAACAGCAGCAACAGAUGCGGAGCCUCAGUUCAAGAGAACUUGGUUCUAACAAUCCCAUAUCGGCUGUUGGGUCUCCUGUCAACUCCUGGUCUAAGUGGGGAUCCCCUACCGGAAAAGCAGAUUGGUCGGUAAAUGGAAAUGACUUUGGUCGAUCUCAAAGAUCCACACCUUUCGAGCAUGGAAACAAUGGAGAAGAGCCUGAUCUAUCUUGGGUCCAAUCCCUCGUCAAGGAAUCUCCACCCGAGAUAAAAGAAAAGCAUGCAGUUUCUGGCCCUAUUCCAUCAGCUGAACUGAAUUCCAAUCCUCAAGUAGAGUCCAUCGACCAUUCGGUUUUAGGAGCUUGGCUCGAGCAAAUGCAGCUGGAUCAGCUUGUAGUCUAGUCAUAUUGACCCUUUUGCUACAUCUUUGCUGUGAUAGAUAUUUAAUUUAAUUUCUUCAGGUACACAUUCUUUUGGUGAAUUUGAGCCCCUGAAGCAUCGAAAGGUGGCGGCUGUGAAGUUCCCGGAGGAUAUUCGUAUUUUUUAUUCCUUUUAAUUUUUGUCAUUCAUUAUUUUAUAUUUUCCCUCAAAGCUUAAGAGAGUAUGAUAAAGAACUCUUUCUCUCUGGGCUGUUAAUGUUAUUAUUAUCCAGUAGAAAAGAAAAGAAACUCCUGCAGAGGUUUAGGUAUUCUUCCAAAACAGGAUUCUUUUUUCUCAUUUUACUACUACUCAACCCUCUUUCAAAGAAAGCUGAAUGGUUUUUAUUAAGCAACAGAACAGAACCAAUAGCUUCAUUUGUUUAUAAGUUACUUUUCCUGCAGUGUUUAAGAUUCUGUCAGUAAAUUUAUGUUGCAUAUGUAGGAAGUUGAGAACUGAGUUUCUUAUUGGAGGAAUUGGAGGUGUUAUGAGUUACUAUUGAAUAUUUAUUGCAAACAUAAAUUUGAUGUUCAAAUAACAUUGGUGUUUAUUUUUGUUAUAAACUUGUGGAUCCUUAUAAUCGGAUUCCUUUAGAAUUGAUACUGUAAUUAUUAACACAUGGCACUUUUACCGGAUAAGAAAAAUAAAAGGGAGCUA